GGGCGGUCACGUGCGUAGAGUGGUCCAGGUGUGUAUAGGGGAUGUUUUUUAUUUAUUUUGCUUCGUGAGGACAUGGUGGUGGCCGGGGAGAGAGAGAGAGGGCGUGCGCGUGGGCCUUCGGAGCGAAGGCGGCGGCGGCAGCGACGGCGAGGCGCGGCGCUGCGUCUGAGCGGGGCACGAUGCGAUGCGGGCCUCGAGGGCCGAGAGCAGCCGCGUCCCUAAACAAGUGGUACCGGGCGAACAUACAACCGUUGAACCUACGGGCCCACUGACGACCCCUUGAACUUCUGCUCAAGGCACACAAACCUCAAAACGCUUCACAGACCCAACGUGCAUUCGGUGGACCAAAACGCAAAUAGCUAAAACUACUGUUCGCCCUACGACUCCUACGUGAAGCACUAGAUCUACCGUUCUUACCUACCUCCCAACUCGACAGAGCGUUACUGGCACCACUGGCACCUCCAGCACCACCACCACCACCACCGCCGCCGCCGCCAGCACUAGCACCACCCAGACUAUACUUUACGAUACUUACACCACUUAGACCCGUAAAACGAGCACUUACAGCAGACGCAUAACCAAGACCACCAGACCCGUCACCUUCCGCAGCGUCGUCCUCGGCGUCAGCGUCGGCGUCAGGAUCCAUGGCAUCCUCAGGCUCGAUACCGUCUUCUUCAAUGUCGGGAGCACUAGCGAGAGGUUCUGCGGCGUCACGAAGAGGUCGGGGUCGGGCACCAGCGUCGAUAUCGUUCAGUGGCCAGGCACGGUCCCUACUAAGAGGACUACGAUUUCCCAUAGCGGCGUCGGCCUCAAUCUGGACUUCGGACACAGGCUACGUAACAAGAAACUCUCUUCAAUGAGAAAUCGAGACGGACGAUCCUCAUGACUCUGGACUGCAGUUGAAGAACUGAAGCCAAUUCUUCCGUAGCAGGACGUGAAGACGAAUUUGCUGAGUCGGUUGAUGCCGAGAAGUCAACAACAGAAGCACCAAAACAACAAGCGAGAAGUAAGAAGCGUGCGGGAAUGACGAAGCGCGUAGGAGGUAAUCAGGGACGGACGCUACGGAGACUGCAAGAAGCAACUUCUCGACGGAAGUUUUAAUCAUUAGAGAAAUAGAGUUUAACUAUUCAAACCUACACGACUGUUCACGUUGAACAAUUUCAUUGGCCUCGUAACCAAAACAUAUAUCUCGGUCCUCAGUUGUUCCAUAACUGGCACGUCGUGAACUCACUUUGAUUAAGAUGUAGAACAAGUAUCCCUCUUUUUACCCGGAACUCGACGCGAGACAUCAUCUCGUAGUUCCUUAAACUACUCCGACCGAAGUAGCUCUCAGUAGGUGAAUUUGUCAAAACACCUGAAGUAGAACCGAAGUGGCUCUCAGUUAGGUAAAUUUGUCAAAGCGCCUGAAGUAGUCGUCAGUAUAAGAAGCGACAGACUUAUUCAGACGGACGACGGACGUGACGUGACGUGACGUGUCCGAGCUGAAGUAGAAGUAGACGCGCGAAGUAAACAAUAGGAGCUGUUGAUGUGACGUAUUAGAGGCAGAAGAUGAACGACGCACGUGACGUAUCAGCGGCAGAAGACGGACGACGGACGUGACGCAUCAGAGGCAUACCCUUACAGAACGGUAGAGGUUCUACCCUACGUAAGAACGAAAGUUAUAAUCCGUUCAGGAAUUAACAAUAACUUCAUGAACACUGGAUUAUAACGUAAAUCAUACUUUGAUGACACAUGACCGGUAAGUCGUGUCAACAUGAACAUGUGGAAAAAUGUAAUCUGUAGCUUUCUAUUUAAAGUACACGACCUUUAACGACACUUUGGUGGAAGGCAAAAUAGUUUACAAAAACAAACAGUAGAGACCGUUGAC
rnacentral:rRNA from 1 species